AUGGGCAGAAUGCUAUCCCCUUCCUGUGUGUGUAUUUUUAAAGUUGUUUUGUUUAUUGUAUAUACUGUAAGAAUGUGUUUUGCUGUAGUGGUGGUUAGACAGGCCUUACCUAAACCAAGGAGCAAGCUGCUUUCCUGCUUCCUCUCCUCACCUCUGCGUGAACUCUGGCUCAGAAAGCUUCAACAGGAAGCCAACACUUUCAAUAACAAUAGCCUUGCCUCACCUUCCAAACAAUGGCAGAACAGCAAGCCUUAAUUACAGCUAGCCCACACUCAAGAAUCAGCCCAGACUCAGGUUUUUAAAGGUAAAAGAGUCCAACAAACACAGGUUUUUAAGGCUUUUAAGGCUAUCUAAGAAAAGAGUAGGCAAUCUAAGAAAAGAGUGCACACUCUCAGGUUUUUAAGGAAUUAUUAGACAGGCCUUACCUAAUCCAAGGAGCAAGCUGCUUUCCUGCUUCCUCUCCUCACCUCUGCGUGAACUCUGGCUCAGAAAGCUUCAACAGGAAGCCAACACUUUCAAUAACAAUAGCCUUGCCUCACCUUCCAAACAAUGGCAGAACAGCAAGCCUUAAUUACAGCUAGCCCACACUCAAGAAUCAGCCCAGACUCAGGUUUUUAAAGGUAAAAGAGUCCAACAAACACAGGUUUUUAAGGCUUUUAAGGCUAUCUAAGAAAAGAGUAGGCAAUCUAAGAAAAGAGUGCACACUCUCAGGUUUUUAAGGAAUUAUUAGACAGGCCUUACCUAAUCCAAGGAGCAAGCUGCUUUCCUGCUUCCUCUCCUCACCUUAUGCUAGUGUUGUGGCCCAAAGGAUUCCAGUCUACAUAGUUUGUGUUUACAUCUCUGCAUCAUAGGAUUAUGAUCAAUGAGUUUCCUUCAUUACAGUCCUUCAUAAAUAGAUCGUUGAUAUUUGUUUUGCCAUGUUCAUUGAUAUACCAUAUAUUUAUGCAUCCUCUGCAGCCAGCUGUAAAUCUCACUCUCAUAUACUUUCUAAAUCACAGUACUGUCAUACAGUUAUGAAACGUGUCCCAUCCAUUACAGUUUCUUCCACCAGUCAUGAUAAAGACUCUGUUCCUAGAAUUUGACCAUAUAUUCGCUUUCUUAUAUUUUCCCCCCAGCUCCAACUUGUAUCAGAAUCAUUGUGCAGCUACUGAGUGUUUGUUGUAAAUCCCCUUCCUAAACUUUCAGCUCAGAAUGUAGAGAUUCAUUGGCUCGUCAACAAAGAUCCCUAUAAGGCCGCAAAGCAGAAAUAUACGUAGCAGGGUCGUUGUAUGUCUUUUGGGCUGUGUGGCCAUGUUCCAGAAGCCCGAAAGACAUACAACAACCCUGUGAUCCCGGCCAUGAAAGCCUUCGACAACACAUUAUACGUAGCAGAUUUCAGAAAUAAAAGUAUCUGUGCUACAAUGAAAAUUAACAUAUUUCCAAUAUAGAAAUUCAUCAUAAAAAAGAGGGUCCCACUCUACAUACAAAUUUUAAUGUACUAAUACAUAUAUAUAUAAU
rnacentral:lncRNA from 1 species